rnacentral:rRNA from 1 species
GACGUAGGGCGCGAGCGUUGUCCGGAUUGAUUGGGCGUAAAGAGCUCGUAGGCGGCUCGUUGCGUCGGCUGUGAAAACCCGCAGCUCAACUGUGGGCCUGCAGCUGAUACGGGCGGGCUGGAGUUCGGUAGGGGAGACUGGAAUUCCCGGUGUAGCGGUGAAAUGCGCAGAUAUCGGGAAGAACACCCGUGGCUAAGGCGGCUCUCUAGUACGGUACUGACGCUGAGACGCGAAAGCGUGGGGAGCGAACAGG